UACAGAGGGGGCGAGCGUUGUUCGGAAUUACUGGGCGUAAAGGGCGCGUAGGCGGCCUGCUAAGUCGAACGUGAAAUCCCUGGGCUCAACCCAGGAACUGCGUCCGAUACUGGUUGGCUUGAAUCCGGGAGAGGGACGUGGAAUUCCAGGUGUAGCGGUGAAAUGCGUAGAUAUCUGGAGGAACACCGGUGGCGAAGGCGACAUCCUGGACCGGUAUUGACGCUGAGGCGCGAAAGCCAGGGGAGCAAACGGG
rnacentral:rRNA from 1 species